rnacentral:rRNA from 1 species
AGGACGAACGCUGGCGGCGUGCUUAACACAUGCAAGUCGAGCGGUAAGGCCCUUCGGGGUACACGAGCGGCGAACGGGUGAGUAACACGUGGGUGACCUGCCCCCUACUCUGGGAUAAGCCUGGGAAACUGGGUCUAAUACCGGAUAUGACACAGUCCUGCAUGGGGUUGUGUGGAAAGUGUGUUCUUGAUUGGGCACUUCGGUGGGGGAUGGGCCCGCGGCCUAUCAGCUUGUUGGUGGGGUGAUGGCCUACCAAGGCGACGACGGGUA